rnacentral:misc_RNA from 1 species
AGAAGGGGUGGGGACAAUUCUAACAGUUUCAAGCACAGAUGUAUUUGUUUCUGUGAGACUCAAAUGUCACCAUUUCAAUUCAUAUUAACUGAUCACCACCAGAAGAUCCUCAAUGUUAUUAGCUUGAUACCACAUAACUUUUAAAUAUGGCCCUGAGAAUUAGGACAAAGUAUACUAUAACAGAAGCAGAAGCAGAAGAGUUUUUGAAAUGUAGCAGGUCAAACAUAAAGACUUCUACACCAGACAAAG